rnacentral:rRNA from 1 species
AUACGGAGGGUGCAAGCGUUACUCGGAAUCACUGGGCGUAAAGGACGCGUAGGCGGGUUGGCAAGUCAGAUGUGAAAUCCUACAGCUUAACUGUAGAACUGCAUUUGAAACUGCUAACCUAGAGUAUGGGAGGGGGAGAUGGAAUUAGUGGUGUAGGGGUAAAAUCCGUAGAUAUCACUAGGAAUACCGAAAGCGAAGGCGAUCUCCUGGAACAUAACUGACGCUAAGGCGUGAAAGCGUGGGGAGCAAACAGGAUUAGAUACCCUUGUAGUCC